CCCGACCAAAGUGCUGACAAAGAGGGAUCCUCCCAAUUACCCGGGUAUCUGUUCUAGUCUCCUAAUGUUCUAUCCUAAAAGGGGUUUUACGAAAAUGAAAUUUCCUGGUGUUUUCUUUGAGGUGGAGACAGCGAUGACCAUUUUCACUGGUUUCUUUAAAUAAGAAGUAGCCAUUAAACUUUUCCUACCGUUUCUUAUCUUAGUCUCUUUGUUCCAGGCCUGACCCAAACUGCGGGGAGCCUUAGGAGAUCUCCUUGAGGGAAGGGUCACCGGUUGUUGAAGCGUCUUGGAUAUUGAAUCCCAGAGCUGGUAAUGCCCUCAAAGUUCAAGCAAGGCCAGUGCUUUCAUUCUACAGAGAGGGCACGGAGGCGCAGAAACGUGACAAGUCACUGGCUGCAGACGCACAGCUGGUUGCUGGAUGCUAGGUUGAAGAGUUUGGAUUCCGUCCAUCAGAAGCAGAGAAUCAUUGAGGAGAGUCCAAUAGGUCUACAGAAAACUGCAGAGGAUGACGCUUGAGGAAGGCUUGAUGGGAUGGGCAGAACUUAGAGAAAGGAGCCUGCUGGCCAGAUCCCUGGGUAUCAUCAGGUGAGUAAAUUCUACCUGCCUCUCCACUCGCCGCUUCCAGUAUUGAUCCCAUUGGUCAUUGUAAAACAUGAGAAGAUUUUGCUUUUCAAAAGAGCUUCUAGAUACACAUAGCUCCCUAACAACAGAUCAGAUGAAACUGUAUUUUCAAAUCAUUCCUAUUCAUCAAAAUUGAGAACCAAACUUCGCAACUGGAGGAGAGUUUUCUGUGACUUGCUUUUAAGGAGCUUCCUUUCCAUGAAAGUUCCCAUAGUGGAGUAAGUUCUGAAAUUUGUACAUUUGACUUGAUCACAACCUCAAACUAAGCAUAACCUUUCCUUAUCAAGACGAAUUAAGACAAAUUGGUUCUAGAAUGAUUUAGCAACCCAGUGUCAAAUAGAAUGAGCAAGGAAAUGGUCCCUGAGACUGGCCAGAGUCAUCUUAAGAGCUUUUUCUCCUUCCUCUCAGGAUUUGUGCAUUUCAAUGCGACCAGGAUUAUAAUCCUAUUUACAGGUAAGGAAACUGACGGGCAGAGAAGUGGAGUCUAAAGCGUUUAUUAUUGUCACCCAGGGUUUGAGAGACAUGCCCCAGCACCACCAGGGUUCAUGUGCCGUAUAGCUCAGCUCCAAGGACAAUUUUGUCUUGCCAAAUUUUAGGACAUUUUACACUUAUUUUUACAUUUUACUCAGACUUUUUAUUUUUACUGUUUUCUUGACUAUGUAAGUAACAUACAAAUAUGUUGUUAAAAUUAAAACAAUGCAGAGAGAAGAAGGUUGCUUAAUUGUAAUCUUGCUGAGUGCUGAUUUGGUACUUGAUGUGUUUCUCUUGAUCAUGUGUCUUAAAGAUUAUCUUCUACCAGCACGGAUGAGUCUGUC
ensembl:lncRNA